CAUAUACUCCCUCUGUCCAACAAAAGAUGUCUCAAGUUUGUCAAAAUUUGGAUGUAUCUAGAGAUGACUUAGUGUUUAGAUGCAUUCAAAUUUGGUUAAAGUUGAGACAUCCUUUGUUGGACGGAGGGAGUAAUAA
rfam:Brachypodium distachyon strain Bd21 chromosome 1, whole genome shotgun sequence.